UACGUAGGGUCCGAGCGUUGUCCGGAGUUACUGGGCGUAAAGCGCGCGCAGGCGGCGGUGUAAGCAUGGCGUGAAAGCCCCAGGCUCAACCUAGGAGGGUCGUCGUGGACUGCACCGCUUGAGGGCGAUAGGGGCUGGUGGAAUGCCUGGUGUAGUGGUGAAAUGCGUAGAGAUCAGGCGGAACACCCGUGGCGAAGGCGGCCAGCUGGGUCGU
rnacentral:rRNA from 1 species